rnacentral:tRNA from 1 species
UCAGGUGGUUAGAGCGCACCCCUGAUAAGGGUGAGGUCCCUGGUUCGAGUCCAGGAUGGCCCACUCCAUUAAGACAAGGGGGUUUAGCUCAGUUGGUAGAGCGCCUGCUUUGCAAGCAGGAUGUCAGCGGUUAGAGUCCGCUAACCUCCACCAACCGAUUGAUUGAAUCACUCUGUUGAAUUUUUUGUUGAAUCGAGCGAUUGAGGAUAUGCGACAGCAACUCAUCUGCGGUAUGUAGAGAGCCUGCUGGAUUAUAUCCAGUACAAGAACCAAGAAAACUGCAUAGUAAUGAUGUCAGGUAGAGAUACACAGACACCAAUGUAAAGGACUAAAACUGAUUGAAAUAAUUAGU